CGGAGCGUAGCGCAGCCUGGUAGCGCACUUCACUGGGGGUGAAGGGGUCGUAGGUUCAAAUCCUAUCGCUCCGACCA
rnacentral:tRNA from 1 species